rnacentral:rRNA from 1 species
UACGGGGGGGGGGCAAGCGUUUGUUCGGAAUUACUGGGCGUAAAGGGCGCGUAGGCGGUGCUCUAAGUUAGAUGUGAAAACUCUGGGCUCAACCCAGAGCCUGCAUCUAAAACUGGAGUGCUAGAGUUCUGGAGGGGGUAGCGGAAUUCCUGGUGUAGCGGUGAAAUGCGUAGAUAUCGUCUGGAACGCCAAAGGUGAAAACAGACUGCUGGGAGUGUGCUGACGCUGAGACACGAAAGCCAGGGGAGCAAACGGGG